GUGUCGGGCCGUGCCGUCGCCAGCCUGCUGGCUGGAGGAAAGUCCGGGCUUCGCAGAGCACAGCACCGGGUAGUUCCCGGGCGCAUCUCCGGAUGCGACAGAGAGUGCCACAGAAAAUAUACCGCCGCUUUGCGGUAAGGGUGAAAUGGUGAGGUAAGAGCUCACCGGGAAACCGGCAACGGUUUCUGUCCUGGUAAACCUUGCUGGAAGCAAAAUUAAGCAGUGGAUUCGGCUGCUCGCCGGGUAUCCGCGGGUAAAUUGCUGGACCCUGCAGGCAACUGCAGGGCUAGAUUGAUGACGGCAGUAAACAGAACCCGGCUUACCGGCCCGAUUUCCAU
rnacentral:RNase_P_RNA from 2 species